CCUACGGGAGGCAGCAGUGGGGAAUAUUGCUCAAUGGGGGUAAGCCUGAACCAGCGACGCCGCGUGAGGGAAGAAGUAAUUCGGUACGGUAAGCUCUAUCAGCCGGGAAGAAAAUGCCGGUACCUGAGUCAGAAGCCCCGGCUAACUACGUGCCAGCAGCCGCGGGAAUCCGUCGGGGGCCCGCGUUAUCCGGAUUUACUGGGUGUAAAGGGGGCGUAGACGGUUCGCCAAGUCUGGAGUGAAAUGCCGCAGCUUAACUGCGGAACUGCUGUGGAAACUGGCGCACUAGAGUGCGGGAGGGGUAAGCGGAAUUCGUAGUGUAGCGGUGAAAUGCGUAGAUAUCAGGCGGAACACCGGUUGCGAAGGCGGCAUACCGGACCCCAACUGACGUUGAGGCUCGAAAGCGUGGGGAGCGAACAGGAUUAGAUACCCUUGUAGUC
rnacentral:rRNA from 1 species